AACGAACGCUGGCGGCAUGCCUAACACAUGCAAGUCGAACGAGACCUUCGGGUCUAGUGGCGCACGGGUGCGUAACGCGUGGGAACCUGCCCUUAGGUUCGGAAUAACUCCCCGAAAGGGGUGCUAAUACCGGAUAAUGUCUUCGGACCAAAGAUUUAUCGCCUUUGGAUGGGCCCGCGUGGGAUUAGCUAGUUGGUAGGGUAAAAGCCUACCAAGGCGACGAUCCAUAGCUGGUCUGAGAGGAUGAUCAGCCACACUGAGACUGAGACACGGCCCAGACUCCUACGGGAGGCAGCAGUGGGGAAUAUUGGACAAUGGGCGAAAGCCUGAUCCAGCAAUGCCGCGUGAGUGAUGAAGGCCUUAGGGUUGUAAAGCUCUUUUACCCGGGAUGAUAAUGACAGUACCGGGAGAAUAAGCUCCGGCUAACUCCGUG
rnacentral:rRNA from 1 species